AUAGUGUUAAAAUAAUUUAUAUGUGUGAUGUAUGUCCCACUUAGAAAAACAAUGGUAAUAAUGCAGUUAUUUCAAAACGGAGACAGAUACAAAAGUUGUUCAGAAUUUUGUGUUAAGCUAUAUUGUGGUUCUUUGGAUUGUUUAGUUCAUUAGUACGCAAGAUCGGUUUUAGGGGUAUAUUUGGGUCAUUUUCCUCGGCUCUUCACUUGAUUUGUGAUGAAUUAAAAAAAUGUUUUUUUUUAAGAAAUAAAGUUAUAAAUUUAUUUUCUAAAAAAAUAAGUCAUUCGAAAUGAAAUUCCAAUUUACAAAAGGAAAGAAAAAGACUGGCACAUUUAUAUGUUCCGCUCACGGUAAAACCGUUCCUGUGGUUCGUGGAGAAAUGUCAAAAAUGGGUUUAACCUCAGCAACUGUAAUAUAUACAUUCAUUUUGGUCAUAAUGGUGGUACUUGGAGAUCUUGAUUUUCUCUCAGAAAGUAUACCCUGAAAAAAGUUAACCACUGUUUUAGGAUACACCAUUUUUAAAGAUGACAUUCCAGAAAAGACUCAUGAAUAUUGAAAAUAAAGAUGUUGUUAUGAAUAUAAUUUAAAUUUAAAAAAGAAGAAAAUUUCCUGUUCGAUUAUGUAUGACUCUGAAAUAUAUUUCGUAAAACAACACUAUAUUUACUGA
rnacentral:lncRNA from 1 species